rnacentral:lncRNA from 1 species
UCUUGGUCGGGUCCUUUUACAAGUCAAUUCCAAGCUUUUGACUAGCAGAAUCACACCUAACCUCAGCAAACCCGACCCGAUUAUUCUUAAGAUCAAACUCCAUCCACAUAUCUUGUUGAUGGUGAUGCCCGAUCACAUACGCUUCAAUCCCUAACAAAUCUGAAUUCCCAAACGUAAAGCAAUAUAUGUCAUCAAUACCCUUCAUUAAACCCGCCUUAAUUAAUAACUUCUGACCCGAAACAACCAUUUCACCGCCCCGAAACAUCAAACUCACACUAGGCAAAACAGGCAACCCGACUCGACUUUUCUCAACCCGGUAACAAAGAUCCAUCACACCUUGAAACACAAAGUUCGGAUCCUCAUACACCCGUAACACAUUCCGGGUCUGUUUCAAAAACUCGUUUCUCAAAGCGGUGUAAACCGGCCCAAGAAGGAACGUAAACUGGGUACCCGUAUCUAUCAUGGUUUGACCCGCUCCGGUAUGGUCGGGUUCAAAUAUGGAUUUGGGUAACGGUAAAACUGUACCCGAAACCUUUAUUCCUUCAAGCUGAACCGUAUAUGCAACCCGGUCGAAAUACGGUAACGGCUUUGAGAUUUUAACCAUGGGCGUGUAAGUUAACGGCGUGUAAUUAUAUUCUCCUAAAAUUAACACGCCCGUAUUGUCCUGACCCGUAAUGCAAUACGAGAAUUUCGGGUAACCCAUUUGAUUAAUAAAAGAUAAAGACCCCCGGUUCAUACCAAUUAACCCGGUUGAUAACAAAUCCUCCGGUUGGUUAGAAUUUGAAUACGUAUCCAUGCAACCGAAUAUAACUCCGGGUAGGUCCGAACUCGAAUCUGAAACCGGGAACCGGAAUGUGUCGGAGGCGAGAUUGCCGUCGACGGAGGUGGCGUCGGCGUAGGAGAGGGUGGCGUGACAGAGUUUUUUGGGGUCGCAAGAAGCGGGUACGGUGAAGUCUCGGGUUCGGGUCAUGCAAAUUGGUGAGGAACAUGGGACAGGGGUGUACGAGGUAGAAUGUAAUGGGUCGUACGAUAAAGGGGUGGUUGGUGUUUUUUUACAGUGUAGCCAUGAGAGCUCGCUACCGGUGUCCAAGACCAUGGUGACCGGCUGAGCCGGUGACCCGACGGUGAGGGUGAUUGUUAGAGAAACAUUGUGGUGAAAAGAUAGUUUCUUUGCUGGUUUUGUGAAGGGCCCAGAUGGAAUUGAUUGAACCUUGAGGGGCAAGAUUGUGUUUUUUGAUGAAAUUGAGGGUGUUGGUUGAGAAAUUAAACAAAAAAUGAUGAUGAAUAUGUUAGAAAGAUGAAGAUGGUGGAGAUGAUGAACAGUUGCCAUGCUACAGAUAAUAAAGAUUUGGUUGUGUAAUAAGGGGGGUUUAUGCAGAAAUAUGUAAUAAAAGAUUGGGAUUUUGUUACUUUCUCUCUCACAUAGAAGCACCUUUGAGUGUGUGUGAAAUGUUGGUUAUGUUUUGGGCCCAUUCUAUACACACCCCCCCUCCUUCCUGAUUACACCCCCCCUUGUGAAAGGAAAACUGUCGGUCCCACGCAGGCCCCACCUGUAAGUAUGUGAGAGAAGGGGGGUGAAAAAAGUAAAUAGGGGGGGUGUAGAAAGUAGCACCCUAUGUUUUGUGUUAUACAGUGGAAUGGUGAGAAAGGACACAAUACUUUUGUACUAGGUGUGUGUGUCGAUUUAAGGAUUUUUGUGUGUUGUGGAGGCCCUACUAAAAAAGGCACAUACUAGACGUCUUUCUUGUUUUUGGGGUUGUGAGUGUGGUCACUCUUUGUUUGAAUUUGAAAUUGCAUACAUGUGGUGUAUCAAGUAUGUAUAUAUAGCAUACACGGGGAGGAUUGCUUGCCAAAUUGUGUGAUAUAAACGUCGAUAAUUUCAGACACGAAUAUGUUAAUAUGACAUGAAAUGAUACGUUUUUAACAGGUUUUGUGAUUAUACUAAACAAGUUUUGAGUCUUAAACAAGUCGAUACGUUUGGGACAUGAUAAAAUUUGUGUCUAAAGAUGUUAAAGACCUACUACCAUGCCAUGUGUAGUCAUAAAGCCCUUUUAGGGGCGUUAUGCGACAUGUGGCGCGCCACGUGUGCGGGUGGGCGUUAUGAGGCGUUAUGCAUUUAA